rnacentral:misc_RNA from 1 species
GAUGAAGAACGCAGCGAAAUGCGAUACGUAGUGUGAAUUGCAGAAUUCAGUGAAUCAUCGAAUCUUUGAACGCACAUUGCACCUCUCGGUAUUCCGGGAGGUAUGCCUGUUCGAGCGUCAUUUACACCCUCAAGCCUAGCUUGGUGUUGGGCGCCUGUCCCGCCGUUUUCGCGCGCGGACUCGCCUCAAAGUCAUUGGCGGCGGUCGUGCCGGCCCCCUCGCGCAGCACAUUUGCGCUUCUCGGAGGCCCGGCGGAUCCGCGCUCCAGCAAGACCUUUCACGACUUGACCUCGGAUCAGGUAGGGAUACCCGCUGAACUUAAGCAUAUCAAUAAGCGGAGGA